rnacentral:piRNA from 1 species
UCAGUGAGUACAUAUUGUGUGAGUUCCUU